rnacentral:rRNA from 1 species
GAUGAACGCUGGCGGCGUGCCUAAUACAUGCAAGUCGAGCGAACGGACGAGAAGCUUGCUUCUCUGAUGUUAGCGGCGGACGGGUGAGUAACACGUGGAUAACCUACCUAUAAGACUGGGAUAACUUCGGGAAACCGUAGCUAAUACCGGAUAAUAUUUUGAACCGCAUGGUUCAAAAGUGAAAGACGGUCUUGCUGUCACUUAUAGAUGGAUCCGCGCUGCAUUAGCUAGUUGGUAAGGUAACGGCUUACCAAGGCAACGAUGCAUAGCCGACCUGAGAGGGUGAUCGGCCACACUGGAACUGAGACACGGUCCAGACUCCUACGGGAGGCAGCAGUAGGGAAUCUUCCGCAAUGGGCGAAAGCCUGACGGAGCAACGCCGCGUGAGUGAUGAAGGUCUUCGGAUCGUAAAACUCUGUUAUUAGGGAAGAACAUAUGUGUAAGUAACUGUGCACAUCUUGACGGUACCUAAUCAGAAAGCCACGGCCAACUACGU